rnacentral:rRNA from 1 species
UACGGAGGGGGCUAGCGUUGUUCGGAAUGACUGGGCGUAAAGCGCGCGUAGGCGGAUCGGUAAGUUGGGGGUGAAAUCCCGGGGCUCAACCCUGGAAUGGCCUUCAAGACUCCCGGUCUUGAGUUCGAGAGAGGUGAGUGGAAUUCCGAGUGUAGAGGUGAAAUUCGUAGAUAUUCGGAGGAACACCAGUGGCGAAGGCGGCUCACUGGCUCGACACUGACGCUGAGGCGCGAAAGCGUGGGGAGCAAAC